CCUACGGGUGGCAGCAGUGGGGGAUAUUGCACAAUGGGGGGAACCCUGAUGCAGCGACGCCGCGUGAGCGAUGGAGUACUUCGGUAUGUAAAGCUCUGUCAGCAGGGAAGAAAAUGUCUGUACCUGACCAAUAAGCCCCGGCUAAUUACGUGCCAGCAGCCGCGGUAAUACGUCGGGGGCAAGCGUUCUCCGGAUUUGCUGGGUGUAAAGGGAGCGGAGGCGGCAGGGCAAGCCUGAUGUGAAAGCCCCGGGCUCAACCCCGGGACUGCAUUGGGAACUGUCCUGCUGGAGUGCCGGAGGGGCAGGCGGAAUUCCUAGUGUAGCGGUGAAAUGCGUAGAUAUUAGGAGGAACACCAGUGGCGAAGGCGGCCUGCUGGACGGUGACUGACGCUGAGGCUCGAAAGCGUGGGGAGCAAACAGGAUUAGAUACCCGGGUAGUC
rnacentral:rRNA from 1 species